AUGUCUGAUUGAUCUUAGUCAGCCCGAUCGUGUAGUUUGCACACGACCUUACUGGCUGAAGGAGCGUACGUGUGCCUAUCACAUGAAGGAACGCAUGCCACGUCGUUUGUUUUAAGACCAUCUCUAAAGAACUCUCUCAUGGUGCGUGCGAUUUAUUCACGGCUGGUCUACCGACAUUUACAGGAUCACUGGAAUUAAUUGGCGCGAUUGAUAAUCUUAUUACAAUGUCAGAUAUCCUAAUAAGACCAUCUGAAUAGCUUUUAAUCAGCAUCAGAUGAAAAGUUAGUCAACAGCUGUAAUCGAUGGAAGAUUCAGUCAAGACUCGUUCAUACUCCCGCAUCUAAACAGAAAUGAUGAUAAUCAUCAAAAGAUUUGGCAUAGCGUUUAUCUAAUCUUCUGUUAAAGAAGGAUAUUUACGAGCCCCCCUUGGUGAUAUUCAACUGAGUCUUAUAAUGUUCUUCACUUGUUCUUAAAGUUGUGUUCUUGAAGACUUCCUUAGGUGACUCUCAGCCUGGAUACGUUCUUAGUAUGUUCUUAAAAUUGUGGAUAAUCUGAGCCUGAACGUUGUCAUGAUAAAAAGGUUCUUAUA